ensembl:ncRNA K07F5.20 ncRNA
UUAUCAAAAACAAAAUGACGGCCUGGCAAUGUUGUGACGAAUAACGGCAAUAAAUUUUGGCUUUUGCAUUUGGUUUUAAAUCAAGUUUUAAAAUUGAAAACUAGGAUUUGAAAU